rnacentral:rRNA from 1 species
AGAUUGAACGCUGGCGGCAUGCCUAACACAUGCAAGUCGAACGGGAGUAGCAAUACUCUAGUGGCGGACGGGUGAGGAAUACGUAGGAAUUUGCCCUUAAGUGGGGGAUAACCCGGGGAAACCCGGAUUAAUACCGCAUGACCUCGAAAGAGCAAAGUGGGGGAUCGCAAGACCUCACGCUUUUGGAGAAGCCUACGUCGGAUUAGCUAGUUGGUGAGGUAAUGGCUCACCAAGGCGACGAUCCGUAACUGGUCUGAGAGGAUGAUCAGUCACACCGGAACUGAGACACGGUCCGGACUCCUAGGGA